GACGAACGCUGGCGGCGUGCUUAACACAUGCAAGUCGAACGGAAAGGCCCUGCUUUUGUGGGGUGCUCGAGUGGCGAACGGGGGUGAACACCGGGGUAACCUGCCCCUUACCUUGGGGUAACUUCAGGGAACCGGGGGUAAUAACGGAUAAGAGCUUCUUGUUCCUGGUGGGGGGUGGGAAGGUUCGGCGGUUGGGGCUGGACUUGGGGGUUAUCAGGUUGUUGGGGGGGUUGGGGCUUACCAAGGCUUUGACGGGUAGCCGGCCUGAGAGGGUGACCGGCCACAUUGGGACUGAGAUACGGCCCAGACUCCUACGGGAGGCAGCAGUGGGGAAUAUUGCACAAUGGGCGGAAGCCUGAUGCAGCAACGCCGCGUGCGGGAUGACGGCCUUCGGGCUGUAAACCGCUUUCGCCUGUGACGAAGCGUGAGUGACGGUAAUGGGUAAAGAAGCACCGGCUAACUACGUG
rnacentral:rRNA from 1 species